rnacentral:tRNA from 1 species
GAGGAUACAGCUCAGAGGUAGAGCAUGUGCUUAGCAUGCAUGAAGUCCUGGAUUCAAUCCCCAGUACCACUG